rnacentral:SRP_RNA from 1 species
GUUGGGCGUGGAGUUACACGCAUGGAGUUGCUGCUUCUGGGGAGACUGAGGCUGGUGAAUCUUUAAGCUUAGGAGUUCUGAACUACACUGGGCUAAUCUGAUCAGGUUUCUGCACCAAAUCCAGCAUCAAUAUGGUAAGCUCUUAGGGGGAGUGGGGAACAAGGUUACCUGAGAGGUGAACAGGUUCAGGUCAGAAAUCAGCAGGUCAAAGCUUCUAUGCUAAUCAGUAGUGAGAUUGUACCUGGGAGUAGUCCCUGCACUUUCAAACUGGAUGAAUAGAAUAAUUCUGGCAUCU